rnacentral:lncRNA from 1 species
CAUUAUGAAUGAAGAGAUAAUCAAAUAUCUCUUUAUUAUGACUAAAGAGAUAUUUGGAUGGAAACAUUAAAGUAAUGACUUUAGUGUGUUCCAUUAUGAAUGCAAAAUAUAUUGCCAUAUAGAAGUUUACAACAAUGUUGUUUGGAUGGGAAAGUUCAUUUAUGAACUCUCUAUUUGGUUCCAACCAGAAAGUGUAUGACACUAAUGGGGCGAUAGCUCAAGCCAGGGAAUCAAGGUCUCAUCAAGGUUCGAACUCAAAUGAGAGACUGAACCACAUGAUUGAGAAUCAUGUAUAAUGGUGACGUCGUUAUUCUCA